rnacentral:misc_RNA from 1 species
AAAGUCGUAACAAGGUUUCCGUAGGUGAACCUGCGGAAGGAUCAUUACAGAGUUCUUGCCCUUACGGGUAGAUCUCCCACCCUUGAAUACAUACCUUUGUUGCUUUGGCGGGCCGCGCUCGCGCUACUGGCUUCGGCUAGUACGUGCCCGCCAGAGGACCACAACUCUUGUUUUUAGUGAUGUCUGAGUACUAUAUAAUAGUUAAAACUUUCAACAACGGAUCUCUUGGUUCUG